CAGCGCAAGGCGAGGGCGUGGCUCAGUAGAUAGCGCCCCACCACAGAGACCGAGGUAGCAGUACCCUGAGACAGUUUAGCUUAGGGGUCUAGAAGACAAGAAAAGAAAAUGUAUCAAACUUGAUAACUCUAAUGCAUUAAUGAGAUUGUAAUUUGGGAAGUAAAAAUGUAAACAGAAACUGUGAUGUAUAACGUGAUUGCGAAAUGAAUGCUUGUAAUAGCAAGUAGAUUAUGU
rnacentral:lncRNA from 1 species